rnacentral:rRNA from 1 species
AUGGCCCUACGGGGGGCAGCAGUGGGGAAUAUUGCACAAUGGGGGAAACCCUGAUGCAGCGACGCCGCGGGAGUGAAGAAGUAAUUCGUUAUGUAAAGCUCUAUCAGCAGGGAAGAAAAUGACGGUACCUGAGUAAGAAGCCCCGGCUAACUACGUGUCAGCAGCCGCCGUAAUACGUAGGGGGCAAGCGUUAUCCGGAUUUACUGGGAGUAAAGGGAGCGUAGACGGCAGUGCAAGUCUGGAGUGAAAG